rfam:Cryptococcus depauperatus CBS 7841 supercont1.37, whole genome shotgun sequence.
GCCGGCGUGGCCAAAUGGUUACGGCGUCCGCUUCCUAUAUUAUUGGUGGUAGCGGGAGAUUGCGGGUUCGAUCCCCGCCGUUGGUU